GACGAACGCUGGCGGUGUGCUUAACACAUGCAAGUCGAACGGUAAGGCCCUUUCGGGGGUACACGAGUGGCGAACGGGUGAGUAACACGUGAGUAACCUGCCCUCAUCUCUGGGAUAACAGUCGGAAACGGUUGCUAAUACUGGAUAUGAGCUUGCAAGGCAUCUUGUGGGUUGGAAAGAUUUUUUUGGUUGGGGAUGGACUCGCGGCCUAUCAGCUUGUUGGUGAGGUAGUGGCUCACCAAGGCUUCGACGGGUAGCCGGCCUGAGAGGGCGACCGGCCACAUUGGGACUGAGAUACGGCCCAAACUCCGACGGGAGGCAGCAGUGGGGAAUAUAGCACAAUGGACGGAAGUCUGAUGCAGCAACGCCGCGGGCGGGAUGACGGCCUUCGGGUUGUAAACCGCUUUCAAUUGUGACGAAGCUUUUUGUGACGGUAGCAGUAGAAGAAGCACCGGCUAACUACGUG
rnacentral:rRNA from 1 species